rnacentral:rRNA from 1 species
CACGUAGGGGGCGAGCGUUGUCCGGAUUUAUUGGGCGUAAAGAGCUCGUAGGCGGCUCAGUAAGUCGGGUGUGAAAUCUCGGGGCUUAACUCCGAAACUGCAUUCGAUACUGCCGUGCUUGAGGACUGGAGAGGAGACUGGAAUUUACGGUGUAGCGGUGAAAUGCGUAGAUAUCGGGAGGAACACCGGUGGCGAAGGCGGCGAUCUGGGUCGAUACGUGACGCUGAGGUGCGAAAAGCGUGGGGAGCAAACAGG